AACUUUUAAAUGGACAAAGACGAUUUCUAAUCACAAUCUGGUUUCAUCUUUUGUCUUAAUGGAAGAGCGGUGAGUUGGAAGAGUUCCAAACAAAGCACCAUAGUAUAGUCUCAAUGAAUGCAAAUGUUGUUGAUCCAUUAACCAAGCCUCUUCCAUGGCCUAAGUAUGAGAGUCAUACUGCAGCCACGGGUAUUAAAUAUCUUAAGAUGUGAUCUUGAUUUAAGUGGGAGGCUUUAUGUUUAUGAUAUGAUGUUCAUAUUGACAUACAUUUGAUUAUGUAUUCAAACUAAUGAAAUUGUUUCAGAUUUAUUUGAUUAUUGGAUAAUUAAAUAACAGUCCCAAACUAAUUUAUAUCAUUCUUAUAGGUCAUCAAGUACGUGACUUGAUCAUGAAACCCUAUAUGUGAGAGAUGUUAUAAAUUAUUGAGGUCCAUAGUCAAUGUUGUUAACUUGGGACAUUAAUAACCGAGAAUGACUAUUAUGUGAGGUGAUUGAUGACUAAGUUUCAUGGAGUCAUUCAAUAUGUAGUAUUGAAGUCAAUCACAUGGAUAUGUGUUAGAGAACACAUGAUCGGACUGACCCGAUUUGAGAACUCUGCAAGAUUGUUAUAUGAGUGUCAUAAGAGUUUCUCAUUACGACUAUAGAGUAUAGUCCUUAGACCUGAGUUCGUCAUGAUUCUUUACUGGUGGAUUCGGUCACUUUGACCUUGUCAAACGUCAGCCGUAACUGGUGAUUAUAAAGGCAUUGAUUAGGUGUUCUAUGAAGUUUGUAAGGAACAUGGAUGGAACAAGAUGGAAUUUUUCCCUCCCAUAUAACGGGAGAUAAAUAUCUCUGGACCUAUCGAAGAUGUGAUACUGAGAAAUGCAUGGCCAUGCUCAAACGAGGUGAAUGUCAGUCGUUUGUUUUUAUCAGUAUAAAUCAGAGUUCGAUAAAUGUGAUCUAGCUGAAUAAGGAUGACACUAGUUUUUGCCUUAUGCUUCUAGUACAAGUGGGAGAUUGUUGGGAAUGUCCUAAAAUCAUUUGUACUUACUCUUGUUAAAGUCGUAGCGUCGAGAUUUGACAAUCGUCUGAUUAUAAUGUUUUGCUAGAAACUGCUUAUAAUCUAUGGAUUGAGAAUCCAUUGCUAAUAUUAUAUGAUCCUAUAGGGUCACACACCUAAGCAAACUGGAUCAAUGACAUAUAUUGGGUUUUAGGAAUAAUAUAUAUAUGAUAUAUAUUAUAAGAUAUACAUAAAGAUGUAUAUACAUGAUAAUGAUAAGUAAUUAUCAUUUGACCAUCACGUGCAUGCAUGGGCCUGGCCCUUUAAUGAAUUAGGUUAAUCACUUGUUCAUUAUAUAAACAUGUGCCGUGAUGUUUUGAGGAUUAACAUAUCUCACGUGAAACCCUAAUAGCAAUAGAGACAAAAAGUUUGUCAUAAUUGAUCUCGACGGCACUAGCAUCCCGUAUCGAUCCAGUUUAUGUGUGUGUGGAUACCGGUAGAGGCACGACGUUUGGAGUGCUAGAAAUCUCGACUUGGUUUGUUCAUCUUUCCGCUGCGAUUAAUCAGACGGGUGUUAUGUCUCAACCGCAACAGCACUGGGGUUACAUGCAACCGCAGCAGCCGCAUCAUCACAGUUUGACGACAACGAGGACUGGAGUUUUCAACAGGCAGCACGAGCAAAAUUAUCAAAUGGAUGCUGAGUUUGAGUCGAGGAUGAGUAACAGUUCUGCGUAUGGUGAUGAGUUGAUGUACAUGACGACACAUGCUUCUCAGCCGCUGCCACAACCGCCUCAAAUGCAGGAGAAGCAAACGAGCGACGAGGAGUUUGCGUAGGAGUACAUGUUCAUCUUGUAGUUAGUAAAAGAAGAGAGCAAAAAUUAUCAAAAAUGAGUUCAAGGACCACUUGUAAUAGUUUAGGUUUAUUCUUUCCGUUAUAAUUCACAUUGGCACAGAGCCUUCAUAUAUACAACAACA